UACGUAGGGGGCUAGCGUUGUCCGGAAUCAUUGGGCGUAAAGAGCGUGUAGGCGGUCCGGUAAGUCCGCUGUGAAAGUCGGGGGCUCAACCCUCGAAUGCCGGUGGAUACUGUCGGGCUAGAGUGCGGAAGAGGCGAGUGGAAUUCCCGGUGUAGCGGUGAAAUGCGCAGAUAUCGGGAGGAACACCAAUGGCGAAGGCAGCUCGCUGGGACGUUACUGACGCUGAGACGCGAAAGCGUGGGGAGCAAACAGG
rnacentral:rRNA from 1 species